CACAACGUUAGAAUUUUCUGUUCUACUGUUUCUUUCUCUCUCAAUUCUUCUUUCCCACACUUUUUUCCAACUGCUUUCUCAUCUUUGCUUCAAUUCUGAGAAUAAAUAGACUUGUGCGUGUUGAUUUUCCGAGUCAAUUGUAUUUCCCCAAUUUCUAGGAGGGCAGGGAUUUUGGAGCUAAUUUUGAGAUGAAAUCGUCGUUGCUAAGGAUGCGGAUUAUCGGGCAGAAGAAGACCGACCCGAACGGAAAAUGGGAUCACAAUUUUUCGCUGCCUGUGAAUGGAUUAACGCAAGCAGCAGAGGAUAUGAAAGACAUGAGAUCAUGCUACGAUAGUUUACUUUUGGCCGCUGCAGCUACAUCAAAUAGUGCUUAUGAGUUUUCAGAGUCGUUGCUGGAGAUGGCAAAUUCUCUACUAGAAAAAACUACUAUGCAUGAUGGAGGAGAAAGUAGAGGAGCAUUAUCUAUGCUUGGAAAAGUACAGCUUGAACUUCAGAAACUGGUUGAUAGCUACCGGUCCCAAAUUAUCAUGACAAUUACAAACCCAUCGGAGUGUCUCCUUAGCGAGCUACGGAAAGUGGAGGAGAUGAAGUUGCAAUGUGAUGAGAAAAGGGAGAUCUUUGAAUACAUGGUAGAACAAAAUAAGGAAAAGGGUAAGUCGAGACAUGGAAAAGGGGAGACAUUUAGCUUGCAACAAUUGAAAGUUGUUCGUGACGAAUAUGAUGAUGCUGCCAAGCUCUGCGCUUUCCGUGUGGAAUCAUUGAAGCAAGGGCAGAGCAGGAGCUUGUUUACCCAAGCAGCUCGUCACCAUGCUGCACAGUUGAACUUUUUUCGGAAAGGACUUCAGUCUCUCGAAGCAGUUGAACCAUAUAUUAAAAAUGUUGCAGAAAAGCAACAUAUUGACUACGAGCUAUCUGAAUUAAAUGAUGGGGAAAAAGACGAUGGAGACAACGGUUCUGAGAGUAAUGACUAUGGAGAGUUAAGUUUUGACUACAGACCAAAUGAACAGGAACUAGGUAGUGCCUACACAUUGAGGAACUCAAUGGAGUUAAAUAAGUUAGAUGCUCCGAGUGCACAAACAUCUCAGGUAAAGGAUGUUGAGUUGCAGAGAGGCGGCAGUAGAAACCAAUGGGAUCAAUUACCUAGCCUAAGCCAACGGCCUCGAGCAGGCAGCCAUUCUGCUCCGCUCUAUCCAGAGAAGUUUGAUGCUGCUGAGAGACUUAGAGAGAUCAGGCAUGCUCUCCCGGAGCUUACUACUACUACCUACGCGCUGCCCACUCCAGCUGAUGCAAAAGUUCCAACGACAAGUACUUCCAUACCGCUAUCUAGCCCCAAACUACCUGCUGGGAGUUCCAAAAACUUGUGGCACUCAUCGCCAUUGGAUAUGGGGAGGCCAAAAAAAUUCACCGAUGACCAGUUUUCUGCACGCAAGCCUCAAACAGUUGCUGAAGAAAGCAGCAUCUAUAAGCACUCUCUUCCGCUGCCGCCUCUGGCUGAGGGAUCUGCUAUCCCACAGGUUGAUUCACAGACAGGAUUAGAUGCUAAAAAACAUACAAGACAAGCUUUCUCUGGUCCAAUAACAAGCAAACCUUCUUUCAACAUGCCCAUUAGCUCCAAUGACAUGCCUCAAUCAUUUUCUGGAUUGCUGUCCCGUCCAUCUGGUUCUCAAUCUCCCUUACUCGUAAAUGUGACUCACAAUGCCUCACCCGCCCUAGAAACUUCACCUAAAAUAACUGAGCUACACGAACUCCCUAGGCCUCCUGAUACGUUCGGUUCUAAACCAUUUCAAUCAAUAGGGGCUCUUGGACACUCCGCUCCCCUAGUCAAUAGAAAACAGGAAGUAUCCCCAACGAAUAGGAAUCCCUUUAGACGACCGAGGGAAGGGUCUCCACUUCCUCUCCCGCAGCUGACAGUGUCUCGAAGUUUCUCCAUACCUUCUAGUGGUCAGAGAGUUGCUUCUCCUCCCCUCACACCGAUCUCCCUAUUACAUUUGAAGUCACCAAAUUCUGGACAGAUAAGAGUGAAUGCAGGUGGCAACUGACUGCUUUCGCCUCAGGUUGAUGUAAAAUCUGCAUUCUUCAGCUGUGGAAACCUGCAUCUAAUAUCAUUCUGCCAGUGUCUUGCUGGAGCUGCAGCUUCCUCACUCUGCUGUAGACUGUAGUGCUGUGUGUGUGUGUGAGUGAGAGAGAGAGAGAGAAAGAGAGAGAUGGGUCUGGCGUAGUCUGACAUAACAACCACUGCGGCAAAAGAGGAGCCGACAUGGCAACAUUACCAUUUGCUGUCACACACACACACACACAAAUAUAUUCACCGCACUAUACACCUCUUCACUGUUUUGACCAGUUUGCCCCUCGUAGAAAUAGUUUUUUCAACAACAGAAAGAAGAGGUAUUUGCUUUUAUAAAUUCCUAAACUUUUGUUAAUUUUUUUCAAUUCUGAUUUUGCAUGUAAGUUUCAUAAAUAAAUUAUUAAAUCAUUGACUUGUUCUUAUAUUGCAACUUAUCUUGGUUUCGACAGUAA